UACGUAGGGUGCAAGCGUUGUCCGGAAUUAUUGGGCGUAAAGAGCUCGUAGGCGGUCUGUCGCGUCGAAUGUGAAAACCCGGGACUCAACUCCGGGCCUGCAUUCGAUACGGGCAGACUAGAGUUCGGUAGGGGAGACUGGAAUUCCUGGUGUAGCGGUGAAAUGCGCAGAUAUCAGGAGGAACACCGAUGGCGAAGGCAGGUCUCUGGGCCGUAACUGACGCUGAGGAGCGAAAGCAUGGGGAGCGAACAGG
rnacentral:rRNA from 1 species